rnacentral:rRNA from 1 species
GGACUACUGGGGUAUCUAAUCCCGUUCGCUCCCCUGGCUUUCGCGUCUCAGCGUCAGUAGGCGUCCAGGACCUCGCUUUCGCCACGGGCGUUCCUUCCGAUCUCAACGCAUUUCACCGCUCCACCGGAAGUUCCAGGUCCCCCUACGCCCCUCCAGGGCGGUCGUAUCGGCGCCCGUUCCCCGGUUGAGCCGGGGGAUUUCAGCGACCGACGUGCCGUCCCGCCUACACGCGCUUUAAGCCCAGUGAUUCCGAAUAACGUUCGCACGGUUCGUCUUACCGCGGCUGCUGGCAC